GCCUGGGUAGCUCAGACGGUAGAGCAUCAGACUUUUAAUCUGAGGGUCCAGGGUUCACGUCCCUGUUCAGGCG
rnacentral:tRNA from 1 species